GACGAACCGUGCGAACGUUAUUCGGAAUCACUGGGCUUAAAGCGCGUGUAGGCGGGCCGGCACGUCGGUCGCUGAAAGCCCCCGGCUCAACCGGGGAAGCGGCGCCGAUACGACCGGCCUGGAGGGGGGUAGGGGGCGCCGGAACGGCCGGUGGAGCGGUGAAAUGCGUUGAGAUCGGCCGGAACGCCCGUGGCGAAAGCGGGCGCCUGGACCCCGCCUGACGCUGAGACGCGAAAGCCAGGGGAGCGAACGGG
rnacentral:rRNA from 1 species